rnacentral:rRNA from 1 species
AGUGAACGCUGGCGGUAGGCCUAACACAUGCAAGUCGAACGGCAGCACAGUAAGAGCUUGCUCUUACGGGUGGCGAGUGGCGGACGGGUGAGGAAUACAUCGGAAUCUACUUUUUCGUGGGGGAUGACGUAGGGAAACUUACGCUAAUACCGCAUACGACCUACGGGUGAAAGCAGGGGAUCUUCGGACCUUGCGCGAUUGAAUGAGCCGAUGUCGGAUUAGCUAGUUGGCGGGGUAAAGGCCCACCAAGGCGACGAUCCGUAGCUGGUCUGAGAGGAUGAUCAGCCACACUGGAACUGAGACACGGUCCAGACUCCUACGGGAGGCAGCAGUGGGGAAUAUUGGACAAUGGGCGCAAGCCUGAUCCAGCCAUACCGCGUGGGUGAAGAAGGCCUUCGGGUUGUAAAGCCCUUUUGUUGGGAAAGAAAAGCAGCAGGUUAAGACCCCGCUGUUCUGACGGUACCCAAAGAAUAAGCACCGGCGAACUUCGU